rnacentral:rRNA from 1 species
CCUACGGGCGGCAGCAGUGAGGAAUAUUGGUCAAUGGACGAGAGGCUGAACCAGCCAAGUCGCGUGAGGGAAGACGGCCCUACGGGUUGUAAACCUCUUUUGUCGAGGAGCAAAGCGAACCACGUGUGGUUUAUUGAGAGUACCCGAAGAACAAGCAUCGGCUAACUCCGUGCCAGCAGCCGCGGUAAUACGUAGGGGGCAAGCGUUAUCCGGAUUUACUGGGUGUAAAGGGAGCGUAGACGGCAGCACAAGUCUGUAGUGAAAGCCCGGGGCUUAACCCCGGAACUGCUUUGGAAACUGUGCGGCUGGAGUGCAGGAGGGGUAAGCGGAAUUCCUAGUGUAGCGGCGAAAUGCGUAGAUAUUAGGAGGAACACCGGUGGCGAAGGCGGCUUACUGGACUGUAACUGACGUUGAGGCUCGAAAGCGUGGGGAGCAAACAGGAGUAGAUACCCUAGUAGUC